UACGGAGGAUGCAAGCGUUAUCCGGAUUCACUGGGUUUAAAGGGUGCGUAGGCGGGUUAGUAAGUCAGUGGUGAAAUCCCCAGGCUUAACUGUGGAACUGCCAUUGAUACUAUUAGUCUUGAAUAUGGUUGAGGUGGGCGGAAUAUGUCAUGUAGCGGUGAAAUGCUUAGAUAUGACAUAGAACACCAAUUGCGAAGGCAGCUCGCUAAACCAUAAUUGACGCUGAGGCACGAAAGCGUGGGGAUCAAAC
rnacentral:rRNA from 1 species